rnacentral:rRNA from 1 species
UAAUUUGUAGAAGUUAUAUUAUUACAGAUGUCCUCUGCCCAGUGCCUUUGGUUAACGGCCGCAGUACUUUGACUGUGCUAAGGUAGCAUAAUAAAUUGGCUUUUAAUUAAAGUCGGGUAUGAAUGAGGUUUUGGGGGAACGCUGUCUUAAUUCUAUUUGUAAUAAGUUACUUAAAAGGUGAAAACUCCUUUAAAGUUUACAUUAGACGAGAAGACCCUAUGAAUUAUAAUAAUAAAUAUUGUAUCUAAUAUUAGAAUUUUUGUUGGGGCAACAGCACGGAAUCACCGUGUAAAGUAUUUUGACAAAGAUAUAAAUUAUAAAAAUGAAAUUAAUUACCUUAGGGAUAACAGCAUAAUUAAAAUUUUAGAUUAUGACCUCGAUGUUGGAUUAAGGACUUAUUAAACUAGCCGUUUAAUUAAGCGAGUUCUGUUCGAACUAUAACCCCUU